rnacentral:rRNA from 1 species
GACGAACCGAGCGAACGUUGUUCGGAAUCACUGGGCUUAAAGGGCGCGUAGGCGGGUGCUCAAGUCCGGGGUGAAAUCCCACAGCUCAACUGUGGAACUGCCUCGGUUACUGGGUGUCUCGAGGGUGGCAGGGGUAUGCGGAACUAUCGGUGGAGCGGUGAAAUGCGUUGAUAUCGAUAGGAACUCCGGUGGCGAAGGCGGCAUACUGGUCCACUUCUGACGCUGAGGCGCGAAAGCCAGGGGAGCAAACGGG